UUUUUGCCUGCCGUGAGACAGAUGACUGCCAGACACUGGAAAUAUAACUCCUGAUAGUUGUGGUUAGCACGUCUGCGAACACUCUGGAUAUCGGGGAAAUCAUAUGAGAAAUCUGCACUGGGAGUGGCUAUUAUUCCUGUACUGAUUAGAGAUCGGAAAGUAAAGAUAUGCUGCCAUCAAGCCGCCUGAUUUGACACCCAAAACUAGCCUUUCUGGUACAACAAUGAAGAAGCCACACAGUGCUGAUAACCCAUCAGCAAAGACAAUGGACCAUGGAAGAACGUAACCUUCCUAUAAACAUUCCAGACAGCUUGUAAGUAAUGUCUGCUAUGACUCAGCAAGGUUUGCAAGGGAAUGUGACCAGGCCACAUGACUCUGGACUCCAUCUUGAGAUAUCACUAUUUUUCCACAAAGUGUACUGGGAACCAAGUUUUGAAACAAAGGGUUCCCACCGAAUGCUAAAGCUAUAUAAGGCAGACAGUGUUUCUUCACUCCCCACACAAGAGGACUCCUGGAAACACCUGAGGAACAAAGAGUAAACUGGGGAAAGUGCUGGACCCAGGCUAAAGGGCUUUCUAGCCUGUGUAUGAAAACUUGGGAAAACCAAGCUGCAAAGCAAGUGCAGCUUGUGCCUUAACAAUCUGCAAGUCUGCUUAUACCAUCACUCUGGGUGAGAGACUGCUAAUCUGCUAAUUCAUAUCCAAUCUAUCUAGUAUGUUAAACUUAGUUUGCAUUUUUGUUUAUUUGCUAGGUAAUCUGCUUUGAUCUGUUUGCUAUCCCUUAUAAUCA